AGAGUUUGAUCCUGGCUCAGGAUGAACGCUGGCGGCGUGCCUAAUACAUGCAAGUCGAGCGAACAGACGAGGAGCUUGCUCCUCUGACGUUAGCGGCGGACGGGUGAGUAACACGUGGGUAACCUACCUAUAAGACUGGGAUAACUCCGGGAAACCGGGGCUAAUACCGGAUAAUACAUGAAACCGCAUGGUUUCAUGAUGAAAGACGGUUUUGCUGUCACUUAUAGAUGGACCCGCGGCGUAUUAGCUAGUUGGUAAGGUAACGGCUUACCAAGGCAACGAUACGUAGCCGACCUGAGAGGGUGAUCGGCCACACUGGAACUGAGACACGGUCCAGACUCCUACGGGAGGCAGCAGUAGGGAAUCUUCCGCAAUGGGCGAAAGCCUGACGGAGCAACGCCGCGUGAGUGAUGAAGGUCUUCGGAUCGUAAAACUCUGUUAUUAGGGAAGAACAAGGGUGUAAGUAACUAUGCACCCCUUGACGGUACCUAAUCAGAAAGCCACGGCUAACUACGUGCCAGCAGCCGCGGUAAUACGUAGGUGGCAAGCGUUAUCCGGAAUUAUUGGGCGUAAAGCGCGCGUAGGCGGUUUUUUAAGUCUGAUGUGAAAGCCCACGGCUCAACCGUGGAGGGUCAUUGGAAACUGGAAAACUUGAGUGCAGAAGAGGAAAGUGGAAUUCCAUGUGUAGCGGUGAAAUGCGCAGAGAUAUGGAGGAACACCAGUGGCGAAGGCGACUUUCUGGUCUGCAACUGACGCUGAUGUGCGAAAGCGUGGGGAUCAAACAGGAUUAGAUACCCUGGUAGUCCACGCCGUAAACGAUGAGUGCUAAGUGUUAGGGGGUUUCCGCCCCUUAGUGCUGCAGCUAACGCAUUAAGCACUCCGCCUGGGGAGUACGGCCGCAAGGCUGAAACU
rnacentral:rRNA from 1 species